rnacentral:rRNA from 1 species
GUGCGAAAUAUUACUGUAAACGGCCGCCCUAGCGUGAGGGUGCUAAGGUAGCGAAAUUCCUUGCCUUUUGAUUGUAGGCCUGCAUGAAUGGUUUAACGAGGGUUUAACUGUCUCUAAAUUUUUUAUUGAAAUUGUACUGAAGGUGAAGAUACCUUCAUUAAAAAGUUAGACAAAAAGACCCCGUGCAACUUUGAAAAUUGACUUUAUUCAGGAGUAAAAGAUUUUUAGGUGGGGCGCCUAGAAAGUAAGCCUAACCUUUCUGAGUAACUAACUCUUUCCGGAUUUGACCCGAUUAUAUUCGAUCAUAGGAGAAGUUACGCCGGGGAUAACAGGCUAAUCCUUUAGUAGAGUUCGUAUUGGCUAAAGGGAUUGGCACCUCGAUGUUGAAUCAGGGAUGAUAGCUUCAAGGCGUAGAGGCUUUGAAAGUAGGUCUGUUCGACCUUUAAUACCCU